UAGUCCACGCCGUAAACGAUGUCUACUAGCCGUUGGGGGACUUGAUCCUUUAGUGGCGCAGCUAACGCGAUAAGUAGACCGCCUGGGGAGUACGGCCGCAAGGUUAAAACUCAAAUGAAUUGACGGGGCCCGCACAAGCGGUGGAGCAUGUGGUUUAAUUCGACGCAACGCGAAGAACCUUACCAACUCUUGACAUCCAGAGAAGUUACUAGAGAUAGUUUCGUGCCUUCGGGAGCGCUGAUACAGGUGCUGCAUGGCUGUCGUCAGCUCGUGUCGUGAGAUGUUGGGUUAAGUCCCGUAACGAGCGCAACCCUUGUCCUUAGUUGCCAGCACGUAAUGGUGGGAACUCUAGGGAGACUGCCGGUGACAAACCGGGAGGAAGGUGGGGACGGCGUCAAGUCAUCAUGGCCCUUACGACCUGGGGCUACACACGUGCUACAAUGGAACGCACAGAGGGGCAGCAAACCCGCGAGGGGGANCGGAAUCCCACAAAACGUUCGUAGUCCGGGAUCGGGAGUCUGCAACUC
rnacentral:rRNA from 1 species